UACGGAGGGGGCUAGCGUUGUUCGGAAUUACUGGGCGUAAAGCGCACGUAGGCGGCUUUGCAAGUUAGAGGUGAAAGCCCGGGGCUCAACCCCGGAAUUGCCUUUAAAACUGCAUCGCUUGAAUUGUGGAGAGGUAAGUGGAAUUCCGAGUGUAGAGGUGAAAUUCGUAGAUAUUCGGAAGAACACCAGUGGCGAAGGCGGCUCACUGGACCGGAACUGACGCUGAGGCGCGAAAGCGUGGGGAGCGAACAGG
rnacentral:rRNA from 1 species